UACGAAGGGGGCGAGCGUUGUUCGGAUUUACUGGGCGUAAAGGGCGCGUAGGCGGCCCUCCUUGUCGCGUGUGAAAGCCCCGGGCUCAACCUGGGAACGGCGCGCGAGACGGGGGGGCUGGAGUUCGGGAGAGGAGCGUGGAAUUCCCAGUGUAGAGGUGAAAUUCGUAGAUAUUCGGAAGAACACCAGUGGCGAAGGCGGCUCACUGGUCCGGUACUGACGCUGAGGUGCGAAAGCGUGGGGAGCAAACAGG
rnacentral:rRNA from 1 species